rnacentral:lncRNA from 1 species
CAAAGGUCAUUUUCUCGCUCUCUUUCAGUCCCAAGUGAGCCACCUGAGCCUUCUCUCUUCAACUGCUUUUCUUUCUGACCUAAUCUCCUAAUGAAUACGGAGACCUGUGCAAUUCCAACCAACACUCUGCUCUUUUCUUCCUUCAUAGCUGUCACACAGAGGAAACCCAAGACAGCAACAUAUUCUGGAAGCCAGGUUUCACUGAGCACGGCUUCUUCAUCAAAGAAGAUUAUGUCAACAAUAUUUUAUGACUCCUGAUACUGUAACUUGAAAAAGUAAAUAGUGAAAGUACUCCGGAUAUGUUGGAAGUUCUUUUGCAACCUGGAGAAUACCUGAGAAGAGUCACUGCCACUGUGGUACAGAAACUGUAUGCCAAUUCAGUUGGCAUGCAGGGAGUAAUUGAAUUGACCUGGAUAUAUGGAAUCUUGGGUGGAGAGAGUGAAUGAUGAGAAAACUAUGAGAAAAUCUCUUGGGCUUGCUUCAGAGGCUGCUGUGUGCAGAACAGAGAGAGAAGGUGGUAGCUUACUCUGGUCCUCAGGGCAACAGCCAUUGCAUGGAGGAAGAAAAGAGGGGCUGUGGCCAGUCCUGAAUCUGGGAAGGUGUUGUCCAGAAUUCCUGACCACCACAGAACAUCCCUUCCUGAUGUGUGAGGUGGAGCUAUGUGGCCUGAGUUAGGGGCAAUGGUUUCAGAAAGCUGAAGUGGAAACAAUGCUGGAUUGGAAAAAGUCAGAAAACUCUAGAGAAGACUGCAUUUGUGCUCUCUGUGGUCUUCCUGCUGUAAUGUUCCAGGCCAGGAUUGGUUCUUCUGGGUAUAAGUCAUGAGGGGAUUCAACCUGCACCUGGAAAGAAGGUAUCAAGCUAGGGAUGGGGAGAAAUUACCCAGGGCAAUCCAGUGCUGGGGAUUACACAAUGAAAAGUCCCUUAGACAGCAGUGUGGUGGAUACUUCCACCAACAUUCAUUCAGUAAAUAUCUUCUGGUGACCUGGUAUGGAUCUUUUAAUUCUGAGGCAAUCACAGAGAUGGCAGGUCACCAGUAGUUUCUAACUGAAGGUGGUAGUAACUGGCAAUGCAUUGCUUUAGGACUGUAGGCAUUACAGCUAUUUUUUUCAAUAUGAACUUUAUAAUGUAGAACUAAGACCCCAGAAAAACCUCAUAGAUAUAAAAUUUUCCUCUCUAGCUAUUGAUGUCAUUUUAUUUACUUAUUUAUUUUUGUUUGGUUUGAUUUGGUUAUGGGUUAGCAAUCUGAAAGCAGUUACCAUUACUAAUUCUAAAAAUGGAUUCAAAAUAGGAACACUUCCAAAUUAGAAGCAUUUUUUUAAAAGGAGUCUGAAUUCAAAAGUCUGACUUUAUCUUUAUCAAAUGCUUUUGGCAAUGUUGAAGAAAUCUUCUGGGAGAAAUGUAAUAAACAUUUCUUGGAGGGACAGCAUAGAGUGCAAACAUCUCAAACGUGAUUCACUUGCAUUUUCUGAACAAUGCUUUUGCCUACUCUGAGCUGUUGGUUCCAGUAUUUGGAGUUCUCAUGACAGAAAUCCAAAACCACUUCUAGAUUCUUCUCCUCCAUGACCACCCUAAUGUUAUUCAUGCACUUGCUUUGCACAAACACCUCUUUCUGUGAUAAAACCUGGAACCUGAAAUCAAUGAAUACAGACAACACAAUAGCACUUGAACUUCUGACUUUAUUAUUUUUCUUCAAAUGAACAGGUG